GACGAACGCUGGCGGCGUGCUUAACACAUGCCAGUCGAACGGAAAGGCCCUGCUUUUGCGGGGUGCUCGAUUGGCGAACGGGGGAGUAACACGUGAGUAACCUGCCCUUGACUUUGGGAUAACUUCAGGGAAAUGGGGCUAAUACCGGAUAGGAGCUCCUGCUGCGUGGUGGGGGUUGGAAAGUGUCGGCGGUUUGGGAUGGACUCGCGGGUUAUCGGCUGGUUUGUGAGGUAGUGGCUUACGAAGGGUUUGACGGGUAGCCGGCCUGAGAGGGUGGACGGCGACCUUGGGCCUGAGGGACGGAGCAGAAGGCUAUGGGAGGCAGUAGUGGGGAACAUUGCGGAAUGGGCGGGAGUCUGAUGCAGCAACGCCGCGUGCGGGAUAACGGGCUACGGGUGGUGAACAGCUGUCGACUGUGCCGAGGCGUGAGUGACGGUAAUUGGUAAAGAAGCAACGGCUAACUACGUG
rnacentral:rRNA from 1 species